rnacentral:lncRNA from 1 species
CCCAGGCUGGCCUCAAACUCACAGUGAUCCUCCUGCCUCAGCCUCCCAAGUGCUGGGAUUACAGAGCUCUUCCUGAAGCCCAAAGGACACCAGGCUAUGAACUCCCCCGUACCAAAAGAAAUCCCGGCUGCCUUAGAACCCCAGUUCCUUGAGCCUCGCGGAAAAUAUAGUCCCAGGAGGUGUGCCUCAGAAAAUCCCGGGAAGCUGAGCGGAGCGCUUUUUUCGCACAUGCACCAUGGGAAGAUCUGGAAGCUCAGUUACUGGAUAAAUUUCUAGGAGAAAAGAAGUCACUAGAUCAGAAGCUAACAACAAAUUGUAAUAGAUCAAUGGGACAGAAAUGGACACAUCUACUGAAGAAAGAACAUCCUUGUGCAAGUUUCUUAUGAUUAUAUCAGAAUCACAAGCAAACAAGUUGAUGGUUUCAGAACAUCGAUUUAUCUGAUUUGUUUCAAAGGUCAUAAUUCCUCCAAAAGCCUUUUCAAUAGCUGGAAGAUGGGAAUCAGUGACAUUCUGGGAUGUGGCUGUGGACUUCACUUAAGAGGAAUGGCAUCUACUUGAUUAUGAUCAGAAAAUACUGUACUGGGACAUGAUCCUGAAAAAUUUGAGAAACCAAAUUUCAGUGGAGUGUCCAGAUGUGAUCUUCAAAGUGGAGCAAGGAUAAGAGCCACGGAUGGUGGAAAAAGAAUCUACAUCUGCAUUACACAGAAUACAAGUCCGUUGGUGAUGCGCGAAUCGGCCAGCUGCCCGGGAGGCAGGGAGCGCUGAGGACCUGGAAGAGCUGUUCCCCCUCCGCCCGCUAAGAAGAGGUCAGUGGGUGCCUCGAGGCCCAUAAGAUUUUUAAAUUUUCUUUGAUGUCUUUCACAAAAUCAAAGUUUCCCUUUCUUUUGAAU